rnacentral:rRNA from 1 species
GAUCCUGGCUCAGGACGAACGCUGGCGGCGUGCCUAAUACAUGCAAGUAGAACGCUGAAGAGAGGAGCUUGCUCUUCUUGGAUGAGUUGCGAACGGGUGAGUAACGCGUAGGUAACCUGCCUUGUAGCGGGGGGAUAACUAUUGGAAACGAUAGCUAAUACCGCAUAACAAUGGAUGACCCAUGUCAUUUAUUUGAAAAGGGGGCAAAUGCUCCACUACAAGAUGGACCUGCGUUGUA